UCUUUAAAGAGAGACUGUAGUAGGAAAGGGUGAUUUACAGUCCCUUUUCUUUUAAUUUUAAUCUUUGGCUUUCAAAACACCCUUUCCUGGAGGAAAAUGGAUGCGCUCUGCAAUUCAUCUCCAUUUCCCUGCCAAUUUGACCUGCUCCCCGUAACUAUUAAUCUGGGCCCCGAAGCUCCACGGUGGCUCAGCAGAUAAACAAAGCCGUCCCUCCCAGAAACGAGGUGGAAGCUCAGAGCUUGAAGCGACAGAAUACAAAUGAAGGAGCUUUUCUGCUUAGUGACUGAAGUGUACCAAACUCGGAUCCGGGAAGCUUGAUUACAAGCAGCACGGUUCAGGCAUGCGACUCAGCUCAGCGGGAAAGCCGUGUCUGACCUCGGAGGGCAGGGCAUUCUGUCGGGUCACAGCACGCUGUGCGGGAAUGGCAAUGCUGUUGUUGACAGAGAACAAGAAAUUCAUGUGCUGACGGGGGCAGAGGGAGUGCAUCUCAUGGCGAGAUCAGCCUUGAUCUGCCACCGGAUUACAGGGGCCUCAGAAGCGGCUGAUUAAUAAUUCUGCAGGAGCCCUUGAGCUGGAAAGCUGGCGCUCUGAGUCUAAUAAUCCCCAGUCAUUGUAAUACAAAGGAAGGACAGGAAUUGAAUUCACAGUUCUGGAUUGUGAAAUUCAAAAUUCGAAAGAAACAGGGAUCCACUUCUUCCUGAGUGUGUUUGUCAACCUAGCUGCAUGCUUGUUUGUGUUAAAUGGCUACUGUGCUUUUUGAAUCUAAAAUCUGAUUAUAUUCAAUUAGUAGAGGCAUCUGGGAUUUCUAAUACACAAAGAGUUAUUAAAGUAACAAAUCUUUCUAAAA